UACGAGGGGCGAGCGUUGCUCGGAAUCACUGGGCGUAAAGGGUGCGUAGGCGGGUCUUUAAGUCAGGGGUGAAAUCCUGGAGCUCAACUCCAGAACUGCCUUUGAUACUGAGGAUCUUGAGUUCGGGAGAGGUGAGUGGAACUGCGAGUGUAGAGGUGAAAUUCGUAGAUAUUCGCAAGAACACCAGUGGCGAAAGGCGGCUCACUGGCCCGAUACUGAC
rnacentral:rRNA from 1 species